AGCUCAUCCAGAGGGGCAGAGGGACACGGCCCGAUGAAGCCCCGGCAACCCUCCAGUCGGUACUCGUAGAUCGCUGUUGAUCGCUUCGCGAGGCUCCCGGCUAGGGAAGGUGCCAAAUCCGUCUCACGGCGAGGUGCGUCGUGAGGAAGAUGAGGA
rnacentral:ncRNA from 1 species